rnacentral:rRNA from 1 species
UGGGGAAUAUUGCACAAUGGGGGAAACCCUGAUGCAGCGACGCCGCGUGAGUGAUGAAGUAUUUCGGUAUGUAAAGCUCUAUCAGCAGGGAAGAUAAUGACGGUACCUGACUAAGAAGCUCCGGCUAAAUACGUGCCAGCAGCCGCGGUAAUACGUAUGGAGCAAGCGUUAUCCGGAUUUACUGGGUGUAAAGGGAGCGCAGACGGCAGGGCAAGUCUGAUGUGAAAGUCCGGGGCUCAACCCCGGGACUGCAUUGGAAACUGUCCGGCUAGAGUGCAGGAGAGGUAAGUGGAAUUCCUAGUGUAGCGGUGAAAUGCGUAGAUAUCAGGAGGAACACCAGUGGCGAAGGCGGCUUACUGGACUGUAACUGACGUUGAGGCUCGAAAGCGUGGGGAGCAAACAGG